rnacentral:rRNA from 1 species
GAACCCACCUGACACAAGUUGGGUACUCACUCGAUAUAGAGUGUAGAGCGAACGAGGGGAACUGAAACAUCUAAGUACCCUUAGGAAGAGAAAUCAAUUGAGAUUCCCGUAGUAGUGGCGAGCGAAGUGGGAAGAGCCUGGUAUGAUUUAGCUGUAAUUAUAGUAGAACAAGUUGGGAAGCUUGACGAUAGAGGGUGAUAGUCCCGUAUACGAAAUAAUCACAGUGGAACUAAGCAUACGAACAAGUAGGACGGGGCACGUGGAACCUUGUCUGAAUAUGGGGGGACCAUCCUCCAAGGCUAAAUACUCCUGAAUGACCGAUAGUGAACUAGUACCGUGAGGGAAAGGUGAAAAGAACCCUUAUAAAGGGAGUGAAAUAGAAUCUGAAACCGCUUGCAUACAAGCAGUAGGAGCAUGAUUUAGUCAUGUGACUGCGUACCUUUUGUAUAAUGGGUCAGCGAGUUAUUUUUAGUGGCGAGGAUAACUGAAUAAGGGAUCCGUAGCGAAAGCGAGUUUUAAUAGGGCGACUAGUCGCUAGGAGUAGACCCGAAACCGGCGCGAUCUAUCCAUGGCCAGGUUGAAGAUUAGGUAGUACUAAUUGGAGGACCGAACCCAAUACUGUUGCAAAAGUAUGGGAUGAGCUGUGGAUCGGAGUGAAAGGCUAAUCAAGCACGGAGAUAGCUGGUUCUCCCCGAAAACUAUUUAGGUAGUGCCUCG